rnacentral:rRNA from 1 species
UUUCAGAGAUGAGAAUGUGCCUUCGGGAACCGUGAGACAGGUGCUGCAUGGCUGUCGUCAGCUCGUGUUGUGAAAUGUUGGGUUAAGUCCCGCAACGAGCGCAACCCUUAUCCUUUGUUGCCAGCGGUCCGGCCGGGAACUCAAAGGAGACUGCCAGUGAUAAACUGGAGGAAGGUGGGGAUGACGUCAAGUCAUCAUGGCCCUUACGACCAGGGCUACACACGUGCUACAAUGGCGCAUACAAAGAGAAGCGACCUCGCGAGAGCAAGCGGACCUCAUAAAGUGCGUCGUAGUCCGGAUUGGAGUCUGCAACUC